rnacentral:lncRNA from 1 species
GCCGUCUUGGGGAGGGCGCGCUUGGCCUCAGUGCUCACUCCUCCCCCCUCCCAACCUGGCGGCAGGCUCCGUCUCUUAUCUCGCUCCUCUCUCUCCACGGGUUUCCUUGGCCUUUUAAUUUCUCUCGACCACUUUCCCUCUCACCUACCCACCCUCUUUCAAACGGAGGGACCACAGAAUCACAUUUUGCUAGGCUGACUCCCAUUUCCAGCAAAACUCGACCACCGAUAUAACUUUAUAAGCUUUUCUUUCUCGCUCCCCUUACAGCACCCCUGCCUCCCAUCCCAGAAAACAGCCACCCCCUUCGGAGAGGACCCACCCAUUCUUCUCUCCGCUAACCUCCUCCUUCUCCCUCUCUUCCUCCUACCCCCUGUCCCCUCAAUCCACCCCCACCCCGUCUCCGUCUCCCACCCCGUCUCCGUUCUCCUCCUCCUCCUGGCUCCUCCUGGGCCGAGUGGUGCUGCCGCUGGUGCUGGGGCUGCCGCCGUCGCCGGGAGCCUCCUUAGCUGCCUUCCCCCGUGCCCGCACUGACACCAUCUGUCAACAUCAUUUAGACAUUACAGCCCUCAGCCACACGCCAGGGUGCCAAACGCCCAAAGGAAAUUGUUUCAAGAUCAAGAUUUGAUUGAUGUCUGGACUUUAGAUAUUUCUACAAAGUGAAGAUCAGUGUUGUGUAGUAGAGGAACCAUAAGGAAACAUCCAUGGAACUUCUUGUGGCCAUCUUGUCACUUCCUUGGCUCCUUGGUAGAAGCCCACUUACAAGAGAAGAGAACCAACCCCAGAAGGAAGCAAAAGAGAUAAGAGGCCAAUUUAGGGCCCAUGCAUCUCUCUGGAUCAGUAACAGUCUCCAGCAGAAUGUCAUUCACAGAUCAUGUAAGUCAGUCAUAGGCAAGUACCAUGGGGUUGAUUUGGACUACUCAGGCUACCUCUUUGGAGCUCUUUUCCUCCAAAUUACAUGAUCUCGUGGGUCUCACAUGUGUCGUGGGGUUAAGAAAUGAAAUCUGGGUUCUUUAUGAAAGAAGGAGGGGGAAAUGCAUAUAGAAUAGAAAGUAUACAUGAAACAUUUAGGCUAAGUAUAAGGAAGAAUAAUCUAAUGUAGAUAAUUUUGAAUUCUAGGAAAAUGUACCAUGAAAAGACACGAAAUCUCUUCAAAAUUAUAGGAUUCUAUUUGUCUGAAAUUAUCUCUCUGAUCCUAUCUGAACGUGGGGCAGAGUGGGGUAGGAGCAAAGGAGGGUGCUUCCUAAAAUUUCC